UACGUAGGGGGCUAGCGUUGUCCGGAUUUAUUGGGCGUAAAGAGCGUGUAGGCGGCCAGGUAGGUCUGCUGUGAAAACUCGAGGCUCAACCUCGAGACGUCGGCGGAAACCAUCUGGCUAGAGUCCGGAAGAGGAGAGUGGAAUUCCUGGUGUAGCGGUGAAAUGCGCAGAUAUCAGGAAGAACACCCGUGGCGAAGGCGGCUCUCUGGAACGCAACUGACGCUGAGACGCGAAAAGCGUGGGGAGCAAACAGG
rnacentral:rRNA from 1 species